GAUGAACGCUGGCGGCGUGCCUAAUACAUGCAAGUCGAGCGAACAGAUAAGGAGCUUGCUCCUUUGACGUUAGCGGCGGACGGGUGCGUAACACGUGGAUAACCUACCUAUAAGACUGGGAUAACUUCGGGAAACCGGAGCUAAUACCGGAUAACAUAUUGAACCGCAUGGUUCAAUAGUGAAAGGCGGCUUUGCUGUCACUUAUAGAUGGAUCCGCGCCGUAUUAGCUAGUUGGUAAGGUAACGGCUUACCAAGGCAACGAUACGUAGCCGACCUGAGAGGGUGAUCGGCCACACUGGAACUGAGACACGGUCCAGACUCCUACGGGAGGCAGCAGUAGGGAAUCUUCCGCAAUGGGCGAAAGCCUGACGGAGCAACGCCGCGUGAGUGAUGAAGGUCUUCGGAUCGUAAAACUCUGUUAUCAGGGAAGAACAAAUGUGUAAGUAACUGUGCACAUCUUGACGGUACCUGAUCAGAAAGCCACGGCUAACUACGUG
rnacentral:rRNA from 1 species